AUCAACGCUGGCGGCGUGCCUAACACAUGCAAGUCGAACGCGAAGACCCCGCAAGGGGUUUGUAGCGUGGCAAACGGGUGAGUAACGCGUGGGUGACCUGCCUUCGAGUGGGGGAUAACUCUCGAAAGGGACGCUAAUACCGCAUGACAUCUUCUCUUUGAACAGAGGGUGAUCAAAGUCUGGGACCGCAAGGCCAGAUGCUCGGAGAGGGGCCCGCUCCGAUUAGCAGUUGGUGAGGUAACGGCUCACCAAGGCGACGAUCGGUAUCCGGCCUAAAGAGGGCGGACGGACACACUGGGACUGAGACACGGCCCAGACUCCUACGGGAGGCAGC
rnacentral:rRNA from 1 species